rnacentral:rRNA from 1 species
UCGCCUGUUUUAUCAAAAACAUUUCUUACUGAACUAAUUGUAAGUAACACCUGCUCAAUGAAAUUUUAAUAGCCGCGGAAAUUUAACCGUGCUAAGGUAGCAUAAUCAUUAGCCUCUUAAUUAGAGGCUUGUAUGAAUGGUGAAACAUUUCAAAUUCUUUAUUAAUUAAUUUAUUUAAACUUAAACUAAGAAUAAAAAUGUUCUUAUUUUAUAAAUAGACGAUAAGACCCUAUUGAACUUUACUUUUGUUUAGCUGGGGCAGCUAUAUAAAAAUAAUUUUAAUAUUUUAUAAAUAUAUAAAAGACCCAAUAAAAUUGAUUUUAUGAACAAGUUACCAUAGGGAUAACAGCGUAAUAUUUUUUUAAAGCUCUUAUUUAAAACGAUGUUUACGACCUCGAUGUUGAAUUAAUGUAACUUUAUAGAUGCAGUAAUCUUAAAAGUUGGUCUGUUCGACCAUUAAAACAUUACAUGAUCUGGUUCUCAAACCCCGAAA